rnacentral:lncRNA from 1 species
AUUAAAUCAGAGUGCAUAGCGAAAGCAUGAUGGUUUGAAUUGGUUAAUUUAUUGAAAAGAUGUAGUUCUAAUAGAGGAUGUUAUAAAAGAUUGAAGGUUCCUUUCAGAUGAAAAGGACAUAUGGGAACUCAAGGCUAAAUAAGAACUUUGUGUUCUUAAUAUUUUGACCUUGUAACAUGCCAAUUUUGAGAACAAAAUUUAUUGAAGG